rnacentral:rRNA from 1 species
AUUGAACGCUGGCGGCAGGCCUAACACAUGCAAGUAGAACGAGUGGCGGACGGGUGAGUAAUGUAUGGGAAAGGGCCUGGGGGAGGGGGAUAAAAACUGGAAACGGUAGCUAAGAACGAAUAACAGCAGAUGUGGCCAGAUGGGAUUAGCUGGGGGGUGGGGGAAAGGCUCACCAAGGCGACGAUCCCUAGCUGUUCUGAGAGGAUGACCAGCCACACUUGAACUGUGCCACGGUCCAGACUCCUCCGGGUGGCAGCAGUGGGGAAUAGUGCACAAUGGGCGCAAGCCGGAUGCAGCCAUGCCGCGUGUAUGAAGAAGGCCUUCGGUUUGUAAAGUACUUUCAGCGGGGAGGCGUUACCCGCAGAAGAAGCACCGGCUAACUCCGUGCCAGCCGCCGCGGUAAUAC